UUUCUCUUCCGUUCUCUGCUCUGUUUUCGAGUGGGAGAGAUGGAUAAGGUUCUUCUUCACCUUUAGAAUCUUUGAUUUUUCUCAAAACGAAGAAGAUAAACGAACGAGUGGGUUCUCCGGUUUACCAUCUUCAUCGUCGGGACUCGGGAGAUUCUAAGGAGGAGGAUUCUCCGAUCGGAAGAGCGAGGAAGAUGACGGAAAUAUCGAAAGAGUUAUGGCCAAGGUUGAUGAUCAAUCGAGACUGGGUUACAACAACGCAUCUACGAAUUAGGACUUUUAGGCUGGUGGGAAGCGCGGAUGCAGGAAAUAGCGUUUUAAUAUGCGGGCAACAAUCUAGGCUUAGAUUCUUGAGAUUCUUGAAGCUGCUGCUGCAUAUACUCUCCAACAGUCCAAGAUUGGUAAUUGACAAAGUCUCCAGGUUUCCGAGACGUUCUUCAUCUACUCCAGUAAAAAGGAUUUCUAUAUCCGCGCACAUCUCCAGCCAACAACCUUUCACUGACUUCAAAUCAUUAAAUAUUGAUGAGAGACGUGCCGCUGUAUUGUCCACAAUAGCCACAAACUCAACUUUAGCUAAGGUUUCCUUAUCUUCAUCUACGCCAUUAGAUCCUUGG